rnacentral:misc_RNA from 1 species
AAACCGGCCAAAACAUCUUGUUGUGUCUAUUGCAAACUUCACAUAUUUGAUGUUGCCACAGUGGCAGUCUGUUGUUCCAGGCCAUUGUUGUAUCUUACCAAUGCAGCAUGAAUCAGCCACAAGGAUUGUUGACAAUAAUGUAUGGGAAGAAAUUCGCAAUUUCAAGAAAUGCCUUAUGAUGAUGUUUGCCCAGCAAGACAAGGAUUUAGUUUUUCUUGAAACAGUGAUGGGGUUGGCGCAGCAGCGUCGUCAUUGUUUAAUUGAGUGCAUUCCUCUGCCACGAGAAAUUGCUAAACAGGCCCCUCUAUAUUUUAAAAAGGCAAUUGAUGAAGCUGAAGAUGAGUGGAGCCAGCACAAUGCAAAGAAG